rnacentral:rRNA from 1 species
UGGGGGAUAUUGCACAAUGGGGGAAACCCUGAUGCAGCGACGCCGCGUGAGGGAAGACGGUUUUCGGAUUGUAAACCUCUGUCUUUGGGGACGAACAAAUGACGGUACCCAAGGAGGAAGCCACGGCUAACUACGUGCC